rnacentral:rRNA from 1 species
CCCAGACUCCUACGGGAGGCAGCAGUGGGGAAUAUUGCACAAUGGGGGAAACCCUGAUGCAGCGACGCCGCGUGAGCGAUGAAGUAUUUCGGUAUGUAAAGCUCUAUCAGCAGGGAAGAAGAUGACGGUACCUGACUAAGAAGCCCCGGCUAACUACGUGCCAGCAGCCGCGGUAAUACGUAGGGGGCAAGCGUUAUCCGGAUUUACUGGGUGUAAAGGGAGCGUAGACGGCGAUGCAAGCCGGAUGUGAAAGCCCGGGGCUCAACCCCGGGACUGCAUUUGGAACUGUGUGGCUGGAGUGCCGGAGAGGCAGGCGGAAUUCCUAGUGUAGCGGUGAAAUGCGUAGAUAUUAGGAGGAACACCAGUGGCGAAGGCGGCCUGCUGGACGAUGACUGACGUUGAGGCUCGAAAGCGUGGGGAGCAAACAGGAUUAGAUACCCGAGUAC